GAUGAAGAACGUAGUAAAAUGCGAUAAGUAAUGUGAAUUGCAGAAUUCAGUGAAUCAUCGAAUCUUUGAACGCACAUUGCGCCCGCUGGUAUUCCGGCGGGCAUGCCUGUUCGAGCGUCAUUUCAACCCUCAAGCCCCCGGGUUUGGUGUUGGGGAUCGGCUCUGCCCUUCUGGGCGGUGCCGCCCCCGAAAUACAUUGGCGGUCUCGCUGCAGCCUCCAUUGCGUAGUAGCUAACACCUCGCAACUGGAACGCGGCGCGGCCAUGCCGUAAAACCCCAACUUCUGAAUGUUGACCUCGGAUCAGGUAGGAAUACCCGCUGAACUUAAGCAUAUUAAUAAGCGGAGGA
rnacentral:misc_RNA from 1 species